GUAGGAACCUCUGCCUCCUGCUAUAAUAAUGGGCAAUUACGUCAAUGUACCAUGCAAGCUGUUCCACAUCCACACUACCAUUAUUGUUGUCCUCCAGGUCUUGUCAACUGCCACACGACCUAAACAACAACUUCAGUGGCACUCUUGUAAUAUGCUUCCCAAACCAAGGUUAUUUACGCAAUGUCAAGCUACUAACAGGUGAUGAAAUUCCUUUUUUGCCAUCUAGUAAGUGUCUAAUUUCCUAAAAACGGGACACGACGAAAAUGGGCAGACAUUGAAGAGUGCUUGAUUUAGAGUAAUUCGUUGAUGUGAUUGAUGGCGCGUGAGAAGAGCGAAGAGAGCGUGAAGCUGUUCGUUGGUCAAGUGCCGAAGCAAAUGACGGAGGAACAGCUUAUGGAGAUGUUCAGAAAGUUGGCAGUUAUUGAACAAGUCAGCAUCAUCAAAGACAAGACUACACGCGCUUCUCGAGGAUGUUGCUUUCUCAUUUGUCCCUCCAGGGAAGAAGCAGACAAGGCUAUAACUGCUUACCACAAUAAACACACACUUCCUGGGGCUUCAAGUCCGUUGCAAGUGAAGUAUGCUGAUGGCGAGUUGGAAAGGCUAGAGCACAAGCUUUUUGUGGGUAUGUUGCCAAAGAAUGUUUCUGACCCCGAAGUCUACUCCUUAUUCUCUCAAUAUGGGACCAUUACUUAUUUGCAAAUUCUCAGAGGUUCUCAGCAAACUAGUAGAGGAUAUGCUUUUCUGAAGUAUGAGAAAAAAGAACAUGCAAUUGCAGCAGUAGAGGCCCUUAAUGGAAAGCAUACUAUGGAGGGUGCAACUCUCCCUUUGGUAGUCAAGUGGGCAGAUACAGAAAGGGAAAGGCAAGCUAGGAGGGCUCAGAAAGCUUUAUCUCAUGCAUCUAAUGCUCCCAACUCUGGGCAGCAUCCAUCUUUUUAUGGCUCUCUAUCCACGGGUUAUAUGCCUCCAUAUAAUGACUAUGCUUAUCAGACUCCUGGAACAUAUGGGCUCAUGCAGUACCGUCAACCAUCAGUACAGAACCGACCCUCAUUUCAGAAUAUGGUUCCAUCCACAAAUCAAGGAGGUACUCUACGUGGAGUUGCCCCUGGAAUUGCCCCAAGAAAUUAUGCCAUGUCGCCUGGAAGCUAUCUGGCAUCUGCUUACAGGGGUGUUCAAGGGCUUCAAUAUCCCAGUCGCUAUCCUGGGGGCAUUACUGGUUAUCUACCUCCUUAUACCUCUAACAGACAUUCUGCAGCAUCUUCAAGUGUCGAUUCAAAUAGAGGGGGUCAAGUUGAAGGUCCAGCUGGUGCUAAUUUAUUUAUUUACCACAUUCCUCAAGAAUUUGGUGAUCAACAGCUUGCAGACACAUUUCAACAAUUUGGUAAGGUCUUGAGUGCCAAAGUUUUUGUGGACAAAGCUACUGGUGUUAGUAAAUGUUUUGGAUUUGUAAGUUUCGCCUCUCCAGAUGAUGCACAAUCUACAAUCAAAAUGAUGAAUGGUUUCCAACUAGAUGGGAAAAAGUUGAAGGUUCAGCUUAAAAGAGAAAAUAAGCAGAACAAAGCUUAUUGAUAUAAAAGCGUAUGGAGUUGAUGUUAUGAAGUCAGAGAAAGUCGUAAUGCAUUUUCCGUUCAUGAUUUAACUACACCUGUGGGAGAGGGUGGCUCUGUUUUCUUCUGAAACUCAGGUUCUGAUCUGCCUCGGAAGGAAUAGUGAGAAUGCACAGUUCCUGUCUAGUUGGUGAGGGGCCGUUUUCCAUGGGGAUUUGAAGAGACAUUUGAUCUUGGCCUGACAUAUUCUACAGAGAAGAUGCAUUUCAUUCUUCAGCAUGCUUACUCAUCAAAACUUUGGAAUUCUUGUACUUCGUCACCGUUAUGUGGACGGCAGGAGAGGACUAAUUUCUCUGCGGACUAAAUACCGGGAGUUAAAGGGGUUAAGUAAGUUCUUUCAUGAAGGCCUGAGAAAUUUUGAAAUUUUUCCAUGCUGAAUUCAUAUUGUUAGCUUCAAUUGUUAUUACCUUUUCCAUGAUAUGUAAGUACUAAUAGUUAUUCCCCAAAACAUUAGUUCAAUACUAGCUAGUUGGCCGCCAAGGAUAGAAUUGAAUUAUCCAAAAUUUAUGCCAUUUUUCUAUUGUUUCUGACAUUUAUUGUUGAACAAGCUUGGCAGUAAGCAAAAAAAUUUUCUUUGUUUUA